AGAGUUUGAUCCUGGCUCAGGACGAACGCUGACGGUGUGCUUUAGGCAUGCAAGUCGUACGAGAAAGCCCUUCGGGGUGAGUACAGUGGCGAACGGGUGAGUAACACGUGGGCAACCUGCCCCUCGCAGGGGGAUAACCGGAGGAAACUCCGGCUAAUACCCCGUAAGCUUUCAGGGUCGCAUGGCCCUGUAAGGAAAGGUAGCUUCGGCCAUCCGGCGAGGGAUGGGCCCGCGGUGCAUUAGCUAGUUGGUGGGGUAACGGCCCACCAAGGCGACGAUGCGUAGCUGGUCUGAGAGGAUGAUCGGCCACACUGGGACUGAGACACGGCCCAGACUCCUACGGGAGGCAGCAGCCAGGAAUCUUGGGCAAUGGGCGCAAGCCUGACCCAGCAACACCGUGUGGGCGAUGAAGGCCUUCGGGUCGUAAAGCCCUGUUGAUAGGGACGAAGGGUGAAGGGUUAAUAGCCCCUAGCCUGACGGUACCUUUCGAGGAAGCCCCGGCUAACUACGUGCCAGCAGCCGCGGUAAUACGUAGGGGGCGAGCGUUGUCCGGAAUUAUUGGGCGUAAAGAGCGUGUAGGCGGUUCGGUAAGUCUGCCGUGAAAACCUGAGGCUCAACCUCGGGCGUGCGGUGGAUACUGCCGGGCUAGAGGAUGGUAGAGGCGAGUGGAAUUCCCGGUGUAGCGGUGAAAUGCGCAGAUAUCGGGAGGAACACCAGUAGCGAAGGCGGCUCGCUGGGCCGUUCCUGACGCUGAGACGCGAAAGCUAGGGGAGCGAACAGGAUUAGAUACCCCCGUAGUCC
rnacentral:rRNA from 1 species